rnacentral:rRNA from 1 species
CCUACGGGGUGCUGCAGUGGGGAAUAUUGGACAAUGGGCGAAAGCCUGAUCCAGCCAUGCCGCGUGUGUGAAGAAAGCCUUCGGGUUGUAAAGCACUUUCAGUGGGGAAGAAAGCCUUGGGGCUAAUACCCUCGAGGAAGGACAUCACCCACAGAAGAAGCACCGGCUAACUCCGUGCCAGCAGCCGCGGUAAUACGGAGGGUGCGAGCGUUAAUCGGAAUUACUGGGCGUAAAGCGCGCGUAGGCGGUCUGAUAAGCCGGUUGUGAAAGCCCCGGGCUCAACCUGGGAACGGCAUCCGGAACUGUCAGGCUAGAGUGCAGGAGAGGAAGGUAGAAUUCCCGGUGUAGCGGUGAAAUGCGUAGAGAUCGGGAGGAAUACCAGUGGCGAAGGCGGCCUUCUGGACUGACACUGACGCUGAGGUGCGAAAGCGUGGGUAGCAAACAGGAUUAGAUACCCUAGUAGUC